rnacentral:tRNA from 1 species
GCGAUGAUGGUGUAGUGGUAACAUCUAAGCUUCCCAUUGCAGGUUUGCUUAGGCCGGGGGUUCGAUUCCCCCUCUUCGCA